UCACCAAUGGGAUUGGUAUGCUAGAGUAGAAGAACUCACUCGAUUAUGCAAAUAAUCUGCUUUCUUCCAACCCAGUCAUUCUAGG